rnacentral:rRNA from 1 species
AAGCCCGAGUUGUAAUUUGUAGAGGAUGCUUCUGGGCAGCGGCCGGUCUAAGUUCCUUGGAACAGGACGUCACAGAGGGUGAGAAUCCCGUAUGUGAUCGGUUGGCACCCGCUACGUAGCUCCUUCGACGAGUCGAGUUGUUUGGGAAUGCAGCUCUAAAUGGGAGGUAAAUGCCUUCUAAAGCUAAAUACCGGCCAGAGACCGAUAGCGCACAAGUAGAGUGAUCGAAAGAUGAAAAGCACUUUGGAAAGAGAGUUAAAAAGCACGUGAAAUUGUUGAAAGGGAAGCGCAUGCAACCAGACUUGUCCGCGGUGUUCCGCCGGUCUUCUGACCGGUCUACUCGCCGCGGGCAGGCCAGCAUCAUCUGAGAGCGCCGGAUAAAGGUAGCGGGAAUGUGGCCCCUCGGGGUGUUAUAGCUCGCUACACAAUACGGCGCCUCUCGGGUGAGGUCCGCGCUUCGGCUAGGAUGCUGGCGUAAUGGUUGUAUGCGGCCCGUCUUGAAACACGGACCAAGGAGUCUACCAUCUAUGCGAGUGUUCGGGUGUCAAACCCCUACGCGCAAUGAAAGUGAACGGAGGUGGGAACCGCAAGGUGCACCAUCGACCGAUCCUGAUGUCUUCGGAUGGAUUUGAGUAAGAGCAUAGCUGGUGGGACCCGAAAGAUGGUGAACUAUGCCUGAAUAGGGUGAAGCCAGAGGAAACUCUGGUG